AAUGAACGCUGGCGGCAUGCCUAACACAUGCAAGUCGAACGAAGGCUUCGGCCGUAGUGGCGCACGGGUGCGUAACGCGGGGGAAUCUGCCCUCAGGCUCGGAAUAACAGCGCGAAAUAGCUGCUAAUACCGGCUGAAAGCGCGAGAUCAAAGAUUUAUCGCCUGAGGAUGAGCACGCGUAGGAUUAGCUAGUUGGGGUGGUAAAGGGGCAAGAAGGAGACGAUCCUUAGGUGGUCUGAGGGGAUGAUCAGCCACACGGGGACUGAGACACGGCCCAGACUCCUACGGGAGGCAGCAGUGGGGAAUAUUGGAAAAUGGGCGAAAGCCUGAUCCCGCAAUGCCGCGUAGGUGAUGAAGGCCUUAGGUUUGUAAAGCUCUUUUACCCGGGAUGAUAAUGACAGUACCGGGAGAAUAAGCUCCGGCUAACUCCGUGCCAGCAGCCGCCGUAA
rnacentral:rRNA from 1 species